rnacentral:rRNA from 1 species
AUUGAACGCUGGCGGCAUGCUUUACACAUGCAAGUCGGACGAGUGGCGAACGGGUGAGUAAUAUAUCGGAACGUACCGAGUAAUGGGGGAUAACUAAUAGAAAGAUUAGCUAAUACCGCAUAUUAUUCGAUCGGCCGAUAUCUGAUUAGCUAGUUGGUGGGGUAAAGGCCUACCAAGGCGACGAUCAGUAGCGGGUCUGAGAGGAUGACCAGCCACACUGGAACUGAGACACGGUCCAGACGCCUACGGGAGGCAGCAGUGGGGAAUAGUGCACAAUGGGCGCAAGCCUGAUGCAGCCAUGCCGCGUGAAUGAAGAAGGCCUUCGGGUUGUAAAGUACUUUCAGCGGGGAGGCGUUACCCGCAGAAGAAGCACCGGCUAACUCCGUGCCAGCAGCCGCGGUAAUUC